CACUCUCUCUCUCCCCCCUCACGCGCCUCCCUCCCUCUCCUUUUCUCUGUUUGAAAACAGAGGGAGAUACCGACGACAUCUCUGAGCCACACCGCCUCCGUCCAGCGACUCCUCACCACGAGACCGCUACCACCAUUACCGCCUCCAUCUCCUUCCUCCGAAGGUGCCAGAAACUCCGACAUACAGGCCGGUUUUGGCAAGAUUUCGGCUUGAGGCAGUGACGACUCCGACGAGGGAUCCACCGGUUCCGACGGUUGAAUCUGCCUCCUUGCUGGAGCUUGCGAGUGUUUCUGGGUUGCUGGUGAAGCUCGGAGAGGCGGCAGAAGCGGUUGGAAGGAGUGGACGACGUCGCAGUAGCUCGGAACGGUGGUGCUGCAGCUCGGAGGCGACCAGACCCGUUCAGAUCUUCGUUGAGGUGAUCGGAAAUUGUGCGGUUCCCCUUGAUAUUCAAGAAUCUAGCCACCCCGGAAUCACGCAGUAACAAUUACUAAUGUCUGACAAGAUACCAAUCGCGCUUGUUGCAACCCUAGAGGAGCUAGCUAUGGAGUAUUCUCCAUAACAUAUUACUCUUAACUACAACUCAAAAUAUGUACGUAUAGCAUGUACAAUAGCACACGUACAUCACUUCUUCCACAUGUAGA